rnacentral:misc_RNA from 1 species
CUUCAAAGGUGGCAGGUAGUUUGAACUCUCCCAGCUAGAAACAAGAGAGCAGUGGUCAUUUUUUAAAUGUAAAUAUGUUGUGUCAGAUAUAUUAAACCAGGAUUAUAUUGCAUCUUUCUAUGUUUGCAUUGCAUCAUUUGAUCUACCAUUGCGUGACAAGGUAAAUCAUGUUUACCUGAAAGCUCCAUCCCUAUCCCUUUGUUGUCAAAAUACAUGCCAUCCAACAAAAUCACACCACAAUCUAAAAAUUUAAUGCAUUUAAACUACAUCAUGUCUCCUGUUCUUUCACUGUUCUCCUAGACAUCCUAAACUUUUCGUGCAUGCAUGGCGUGGCACUCCCACCGUGCUAAGAGUAGUAUUCUUAAGAUUCCCAUUUGCUGCCACCCUGAACAAGCUAGAGAAUUAUAAAAUCUCCCCCCAAAUACGCAUAUUCAUUCUUUCAGGCUAAGCCUUGCAUUUUGAACUUUCACUGACAGCUUCAACUUCUGUUCUUCCAUAUCUCUUAAAACGGCUAGCAAGUUUGCUCUAUAAACAUCACAGCGUUGAUUUGUACUCUCCAACUCAGCAGUCAAUUCACGAAUUUUCUUCUCCUUCUCAUCCGCAGAUUGAAAUGUUGUUGGUCUAUUUUCAUCAACUACAUGUAGCACUUGACUGUCUCCAUUGGUCAGAGCUACACCCUCUGUGUCACCAGCACUUUUAUUUUUUGCAGCAGCAACCUUCUUAGCAGCCUCUUGUAGAGCAUCCAUUGCCACAUUAUAUAUGUGAAUAGAUUUUGCCCCUUCUUCAACAUAUUUGAUUGCUUCCUGUCGCAAAUUGUUAUACCUAACAGUUAAAGAUUCUCGAGAAUUGUUUGGCAAAUCAGAAGCACGUUCAUCCAACACAGCUCCACUCUUGGAAUUUCUUGUCCAUCGUUUCCAUACAUAUUGAGAAGGAAGCGUAAGGACAUUUUUUGCUCUAAAAACUGCUAAUAUGUGGCGACAAAUUAUUCCUGUAUAUUCAAACAUUUGGCAGCUGCAGCUAGCUUUCAUCUCAAAAGAAUUGAAACUAACAGUAUGUGCCUUGUGUUCUUCCCCAAAUUUGGCCACGCGAUAUAUGCUGAUGGUUCCCAAGUCUUCAAUCUUGGUGGCAGGAUUAGCAAGAGUCUCAACCAAUUCUUCCUGGAAUUUCAUGAAGAUUUUUCUAGUAUAGAGGUUGGCAGCUUGUUUUUCCAUAGGCGAAGGUGUCUUCAGAACUGGCAUAGUGUUAGCAGUGUCAUAGUCUGCCUUUAACUCCUUUUCAUGCCAACUUGCCACAGCUUUUUCAUACUGUUUGAUCAACAUCUGUAUGGUGGUUGAUGCAUUCACAUAACCUUCAAAGAAUGAAUUUAUAUCUCGACUUCCAUCAGUCACAGAAAACUCACCAAAAAAAGUGUUUCGCAUAUAAACUGGGACCCACUGCUGCCUAGCAUUGUACAUAGACUGAAGCCAUUCAUUGUCCAUGACGUAGUACCUUUUCAGGAGUGACUGCCAAGACGAUUCAAACUCAUCAAUUGUCUCAGUCUCACUGAUGCACUUUUUAAAUUCAAUUUCGAAGGUUGGAUGUGAUUGGUAUAUAUGAGCCAUUUUCUCUUGGGUUUCUCUAAAUAUACCCUGCUUACUGUAUCGAUGGCGAGUUUCAGGAAGAACUUGUGCAACAGCCACCUGUAUGAGCCGAUCAGGAUCUGUUGUGAUAGAGACUGGGUGUUGUCCAGACAUUGCAUGAAGCCAAGUUUGGAAUAGCCAAAUAAAAGAGGACUCAGAUUCAUUGAGAAGUAGAGCACAGCCAAACAAUACAGGUUGCCCGUGAUGAUUUACUCCAGUGAAAGCUGCAAAUGGUACCCUAUACCGAUUUGUCCGGUAUACAGUAUCAAAGAAAACAGUAUCUCCAAAGUAAUUAUAGUUCAACUUGGAGUUUGCAUCUGCCCAGAAUAUAUUUCCAACGGAGUGAUCAGUGUCACUCUGAAUAGCAUAAAAGAAAGUAGGAUUCUCAUCUUGCGUUCUCUUCAAAUAGUCCAGCACAUGCUGAACCCCGCUCCCGAGGGUCCUCUGCCUGCUACCACUCAUCUAACUGUUACUCUAAUCGUAUGGUAUUGACGGCGAGCGAGAGAGGUUUUGCCUUUUAGGUCUUGAUUCUUGUUGCAAUUUUUGGUGACUCGAAACUCAUAAUUCUUGGUGAUAGUUUCUGCUCUGUAGGCCAGGAGAGGGAGGAAGAGAUGGUGGCGUUUUGAAAUCCGCCGUGCAGUGCAACCGAGGACAGGAGAGGAGAGGGGGCCGUGAAAUGGUGAGACUUGAGAGGAGGAUAUUCG